rnacentral:sRNA from 1 species
AAUACCGGAGUUCGCGCCCUCAAGCGCCUCGAGCCGCAGCAGCUCGCGCCGCAACAUCGCAAGAAGGGCGGUCU